rnacentral:lncRNA from 1 species
AACCCAGCUCCCAAGCAACCCAAAGGGCCAGUCUCACUCCCACCAUGCCCACCCCCACAACAGCACCAAGUCUGUUUCCAGGUAGUGGGCAAACAGGAAGUUACCCCAGGCUACCCACCUCCCAGCUGCAAAACCCUUGAACCUGCUUGCCUCAGUAACCAUGGCAAGUCCAGAUGGCUGCCUUAGGAUCAGAUGUAAACCUUGGAGAAACCAGCUGUGGCCAGUAUGUCAAGUUUAAGCAGACAAAUGAAGGUGACCUGUGGUGGGAAUACACAUUUUGAAACUGAAAAGAGAUGGUAUGUGGGGAUGUACGGAGAACUUGUUGGAGUCUCUGUUGUGGACAACGCUUUAUGUGGUUUCAAGCUUCACAUACAAAAAAAAAGAAGGAAAGUGGCAGCACCCAAAAAAGAUCAAAACAAGGCAAGGAUCUCUGCUCUCGACCCAUCUAUUCAAUAUUGAACUAGAGGUCCCAGAUGGUGCAAUAAGGAGUGAACAGACCAGCAUCAGCAUCAAGUUCCUGGUUUCCCAGAAGGAUACUUCUGAGUCACAACAGCAAAACCAGCAGUUGUCCCAAGCACAAGGCUAGGAUUCUCUCACCUUCCUCAGAGGAAUCCAUCAGACAAAAUGAAAGGCAGUUAUAUAAACAUUCAGAGUAAACAUUCAAUUGUCCUUCUGAUUAUGUUGAACACACACACACAUACACACAUGCACACACAAAGUGGUCAGAGGGCAUGGAAGCUUUUCAGGAAAGACUUGUAAAUUUAACAAGCACAACUUCAAACAAAGCGUUUCAUAUUAGACUGCAGAAUCCAGUGAAGAAUCUGCAGGAUUAGUGUUAAUUUAAUAAAUAGUGCUGCUCUGCCCCUCUGUGGGAAUACUGAGAAGUGCAUGAGAAGAUGCACAGAAUUCAGAAUCAACUAAUACAGAUACCAUUAGUUAGAGAAAGAGGCUAAGUACAAAUAAAAUCCAGAGGCUUCUCUUCUAAUACGAAAUCCAUGCCAAAUAUUUAUAUUUUCUGAGUAUAGUGUCACUAGAUGCAAAACGAUAAGAUAUAAAUGACUUGGAACGUGAUUUGCAAAUGUCAGUUUUAAAUUCAUCUACUUUUAAAGUUGAAUUCAAUGUAUCUAUAUACUUAUUUUCUAUUUCUUCCACGUGAAAUGUCACUCGGUGGUGUAUAAAACAUGGUUACAAGUUUAAAAGUGAAACACAGGGAUAACAGUGAUAAUUAACAUUGAUUGAGUGAUUGCUAUAUAUCAGGCACCAGGCAAAUAUUAAUUCUUUUAAUCUUCAUACACAACACUCUGAGGGAGACAGGAAACCUCAUGGUAUACAGGACACCUCAAAGACCUUUAGGUAAAUACAUAAGCCCAAGACCACUUCUCAAGUGAGAGUCAGAAUCCAAGUCCAAGUAUCCUACCUCCCAGUGCAGCAUUUAUUUCACUUACACAAAGAUGUUUGGUUCACAGCCCUGAAGAGAAACCAUUUACCAGACUAACCUUGAUUAAGAAAUGUCUAUCAAAACUGAAUAAACAGAAAGUAUUGCAACUGCAUCUGACAAUUACAUGUUUUCUUCCUACUGUUUUUAAUAUUGAAAGAAAAAGAUGCUGACAAAAUUAUGAAAAAAAAGCAUGACAAUUAUUUAUUCCAUUAUAUAUUAAGCAGGCUCACUUUAAAAUAAGUUGAUUAGCAUUAAAGUCUUAUCUGAAGGCCCA